rnacentral:lncRNA from 1 species
AUGAGCCAUACACAGUGUUCAACUCUUUCCCAAGUGCAGCAUUUACCCGAACGCUCAACUAUUUAUUUAAAGAUGCAAGACUUGACUUUUGCCGAAAUUCUAGUCUUCAGUCCUACUUUGAUGAGUAUCAUUUUUCACUUUUACACUGACAUCAAAUUUAGAGGCACUGAACAUAUUAACCGGUGCGGCUAUAAUCUUGCAUAAAAUAAAUAUUUGCAAAUAUUAUCUUGCAGGCUAGGAGAGGAUUUAUAAUCCAAAAAUGAAGCUGUACCUAAAAAAAUUAAAACGUCCCAACUUUAUGAAGAGGUAAAAAAAAAUUAAUGUCUUUCUAGAUAGGAAAAAUAAAAAAAGUCUAUUGGUUUCGUUGACUUAGUAUUCUGAUUUUUAGCUCCUUCAAGAUUUUUGGGCGCCACGGAUUUUACCCUAAAUCAAUAUUAAAGCACACCGAGUAUACAUCUAAGAGACCACACAGAAAACAAGCAAGGACAAACAGAUUGAGUCUUCUAAGUAGAAACUUUUCAGCCUCCAACAACAGCUUCCCGUCUAUUGGAGAAUGUUUUUAUAGUUUGUGUUUGAAAGGCAUAUGAUGCACUAGAAAGAGCUAUAACUUUAAUUCGUUAAUUAUUAAUUUAUGUUGAAUCAGAGUCAGAAUCGGAGGACGAUGAUGAGGAUGAUGAGGAUGAGCUUGAAGAGUCUGAUGUUGAACUAGAAUCACUUGAAUACUUUUUGGAUUUAGGACUGAAAAGAAAUCAGAGGAAAUAAAAUAAUAACUAAAAAGGGACAGAGAGAAAAGAUAAAAAAUUAGAAAACAGGUUAUGAAAAUUAAUAGAGGAAAAACAGAAAAAAAUGAAUCAAUAAUGUAACUACUGACUGAGCGAUCCUAUGUAAGGAAAUAUUCCAGAUUGUUUAGUGGACGAUUUAAUCGUCACACAAGGCGGUUAACCAUUUUUUCUUUUUAUAAAAUCCAAAAGUAAACACAUUUUUCUAGGAAAUCAUGGAAAUAAAUCUUUCUGGAUCAUAAUGAAAAGAAAGUUUAUAUACAUCUUGAUGGUGCAGGAUUCAAUGCAAACUAUUUUAAGCCAAAAAGAAAAGAACUUAGACAAUAAUAAACGCAAUUCUAAUUUUUGAAUUUAGCUAUUGUACGAGCCAAUUAAAUUACUAAACAACUUGCAAACAAAACAUAACUGCUUUAACUCCGAACUCAGCUGGAAAUGCCUUGCUGACAAAGUGAACACCGUGUUUCAAUUAACUCAUCAGAUUUUAGACAGAAACUGGAUGGGUCCACUUUCAGGACCAAAUAAGACUCCUCACUCAAAAAUAUGAAAUGAGCACAACAAAUCAAACAUGUAUGUAUACAGCAACAGUGCGAAGCUGGAGAGAAUUUUACUUCCCUAUUUUGUGAUACCCUCCCCUCCACGAACUUACAAGAAAUUUGACACUGUUUCAGGAGCCAAUUUUAGGUUUAAACUUGAAGAAAUGUCCAAUGGGUAGUAGAGUUGUCUGCUUUGAUGGAACGGAAAGUUUGUUGCCACUCUUUUGUAAUCUCUUUGGAAUACUGUGUUCAGCUUGUGCAUUUUGGCUGAGACUGAGAGGAAGCCAGCGAUUUUAAAAGGCACAAUAAUGAGAGCGAAACAUUCCUAAAAUUGUUCCCCCUAAGUUUAUUAUUGGUUGUUUUAUUACUCACAGCUGAUACUUGUUUCACUCUAGUCUCGAAUUUUGAGUUCUUUGAAAAUGUUGUGCUAUGAAGAUUUCAGGCUGGUAACAGCUCAUCUACCAGUAACAAGAAAUCGUAAAAAAUUUGCACACCAAAAAUUCAAAGGAAAGUGAUUUACAUAGAAAGAACACUCAGAAACAAGAUCAGAUUGAAACAACAUUGAUUCUGUCAAUGUCUGAUUUUCUUUGGAUGUUGCCUUUUAAUGUGUAUUUUUUAUGUAUUUUGAAAGACUUUUUCUUUUCUUUUUUCCAGACUUUUUGCGAUUCCAUGUUACCUAAUGAUGAACAUGCAUCUAUUUGAAAUGACCACUGCACAGGAUUUUCGAAAAAAGGAACUUCAAAACCACAAGAAAAUGAAUAUCAGCGAUAAUUAAGAUGCUUGAACAAAUUGCACAAGAACCUUUUUGCUUGACAUUCCAUCAGUGCAUUGGCAUUUGCAGACACUUAUGGACAACUAUAUGGCUACAUGACACUAGGCAAACACUGAGAACUUCACAUGGAGACCUCCACCUCCACAUGGGCCUGUUGCAAACUUUUGCUAGAGCAAAAAUAAGAGUUGUUUCCUAUAGAUAAUGAUUCAAAAAUUACGAUGAGCGCAUAGGCAAAGUCUGAAAUGCACUCAUAACUUUACAAUCUGCGUAAGAAAUUUGCGUUUUUUUGAGCUUCCCGCUUCAAAAACGAUACUACUGCAGCACAGGUGAACAUUUUGUUAGAGGAAUCGUUCAAUCGUCGGCAAUAUUCAUCAUGGCCGCGACGCUUCCGCAGUUCCGCGCGUAAUUUGAGGAGAGUUCAAGGUCAAUCAAGGUGGGCGAGGAAAAUAUGAACGUAAACACACCAAUCGUUAUCUGGUCUUAUCCUGGUCAGGUGUUAUCUUGUCCGAUCAAACGUGUUUUGGCGGAUUGCCGUCAGCCAUGAUGAAUAUUGCCAACGAUGGAAUGACUCUUCUAACAAAAUGUUCACCUGUGCUGUAGUAUCGUUUUUGAAGCGGGAAGCUCAAAAAACCGCAAAUUUCUUGCGCAGAUUGUGAAGUUAUGAGUGCAUUUCAGACUUUGCCAAUGCGCUCAUCGUGAUUUUUGAGGCAUUAUCUAUAGGAAACAACUCUUAGUUUUGCUCUAGCAAAAGUUUGCAACAGGUCCAUUAUUUUGGCCUAAAAGAUAUAAACCAAUCAAAAUGACUACGUUCCAGACUUCAUAACUUCACGAAUUACUGUUAAAAAAUUAUACAAAUUCCGUUUCCAAAUGUGGAAAUCCAAAUUGGUUUGUAAGAAUCUUGGCCAUUUCAUGAUCAUCUUAGGAAUUCCAAGUUGUAAUGUUGAUAUAUUCUUCUCAGAAAAUACUGUAUACACAGAUAUUUUGAAAUUUUGUAACUGAACCAAGAAGUUUUGAAGUUAGGGCAUUGAUAUGUGUUUCAACAACACUACGCUUAAUUUCCAUAGAUCUCAGAGUUUUUCAUCACAGCAGGGUCUAAGAGCUUUGUAUCAAAGAUAUUGCUGCAAAUUAUAUGAAACAGCAACAGGCUUUUCGACAACCACUAGAUACACAAACACUAACACACAUAGUGCAAAAAAUCUAAAAUAUCUGAACUAAUACUGGAAAAAUAAAAUGACAACUAUCCAACAGAACAAAUAGAGAAAAGUUA